rnacentral:lncRNA from 1 species
UUGUAACCUGGCAUCCAUGUAGCCUCCUGGUGGAUGAGAGUCCUUUCAGGCAUCCAUUUCCAGAAUAGGAGGGUUUCUUCCAUAUUGAAUAUACUCUGGCAGCUCUAAGCGAAAGACAUGAGGCCUAAGACUGAAAUGAGGUUGUUUUGAGGCCAUCUGAUUUCUGACUAGAAGGUGUGCGAUCGCCUCGUCCUGAAACCACUUCAAACAGAAUGGUUUGCAAUUUUUUUUGGUGAUGGCAUGUUCAGAAUCUUGGAUCCCUAAGUUGAAUAUAUUGGAAAUAUUUAGGAACCUUGGAAAUUGUUUUUGUAUGCAUAAUGACUUACUAGGUGGAUCAGUAGGCUUAAUCAAAAGUAUAUAAAAGAGUAGGUAUAAUAAUUUGUGUUUCUAAGUUGGCAUGCAUGUUUCGAAUUCUCUCCUACCAGUAUUAGUGUCAUAGUCUAGACAGAGUUAUCUUUUGAAGAUUUGCGGUUUUUGUGGUCCUCCUAUGUAAUCCUCCCAUGCCGGUUUGGUCAGCUUGUUUUCCUUUCUAUCUGCCUUGCAGUGUUGCUUACUUAGGUUAGAGGUAAUUAUUCAUCAGGAAGAGAGAAGAGAAAAAAAAUCAUGAAGUGACAAUCCUAAAGGUAGUAAUUACAAAAUUUCAACCUGGAAAUGACCUGAGCAUGGUCUGUGUCAGAAAAUGCAAAUUCGACCAAGUUAUAUACAUACACUUGUGGCAAAAUGCUGCCAAUUUUCCAAUUAGAUGUUAUUAUGUAGGACAGGGUGCUAAUGAGGAGGGAAAAGACCUGUUUAGUUUCACAUCCUCCCCCCUCCCUAUUGUUGGGUGAAUGAAUUAGUGGAAAGUAAAAUCGACAAGAGGUAGACGGUAUGAAUGAAAAGAAGGAACAAAACUUUAAUCUCCAGGAAAGAUUAUUUCCCCUUAAAAAAUUGAAAGUUGGCUAUAUUCCAUGUACCUGAACACGCUAUUCUGAAACCAUAGGCCACUUUCAUGUAGACCUAGAAUGUGAGCUAGGGGAUUCUUGCCCAUAGGAGUGGGUGGAGAACCUGUAUUUGAUAGGAGAGUCACACAGUCCCUGGGCCACUGGGGCGCCAUUAUCAGUGGUUGUCAUUUUCUCUGGCCUCUUCCUGCUGGGAUUAGGAAACUGGAACGUUCUGGGGCAGAUUGUUAUUUUGAUGGUCAAAUAUGACUGCCUCCCUACUCUUUUGACCAAAAUUGGGGAAAGACUGAUUUUUAAGACCAUAUUCAGAGCAACUUGAAAAAGAAUCAAAGGGAAAGGAUGAGGAGAAUUCAGGAAACUAGAGAGACUGAAUGUAGCUUGGUAGAAUGUUAAUGUAUUCGUUUAUUCUAAGGUUUAUUAUUGGUAGAUUAUCCAGUAAUACCGAAAUUGGUGUAUAAUAGAAGUUUUCAUAACAUUUCUAUUAGAAGGCUUUUAAAAGCUAAAUAGGCUAUAUUGUAACUGCACCCCCUCCCCCCAAUCUUCUUACUUUGCUUUGUUUGAAGAGGAAUAGGCUGAUAUAUAUUUAAUAGGUGGCACAUUUAAAACAUUAGAUAGGUUUUUAAAAAUCAAGUUAUAUCAAUGUAAAUCUGUUGCCUAUUUAGCUGCUUUUCUAUUACACCUGGCUUUUUAAAAGCUGUUUUUGUGAUACUUUUGUCAAUAGAGGUGUUUCCUCUUAGCCAGUUCUAGCCACGAUGUUGACUGGACCUCAGCAUCUAAUAUACCCAGAAGGAUUUAGGCAGGCAGGAAAAAACUUGGUUCCUACUAGAAUGAAUAUUUUAAAGACCUUCUUAGAUUCUUAACACUUUGAGUACAAAUGAAAGAGACCCAAGAGAGGGAAAGAUUUAAGAACCUAAGAAUAAAAAGCGGUGGGGAGGGUCGGGGGUGAUCUCUUAUAUAGCUAACCUGAGGGCACUGGGGGUUGUGAGGAGGCGUGUGGAAGUGACAGUGGGCAUUCUCAUGUUAAUUUAGGCAUUCACACUAGCCUGCUCUAGUAGUUUAAGGAUAGUGGCAGGUGAUCUUGGGAAAUAUUAAUGCAUUUCCUAACAAUGAAUUUGAUUUUAUUUUGGUAUGCUGUAAAUGGAUAUGUGGCUCAAAGAUGAACUUAAUUCAAAAUACUUAUCUUAGAUACUAGGAAAAAUAUUAUAAAAAUGGGUUUUUUGUCCCUGUUACAUAGCUUUAGAAAAUAACAUACAAGACUGAGCAUAGCAGGGAAUUGAUGGCAUGAAUGUAAUCAGUAUUUGAUGGUUGCUUUCUAAAAACUUUUAAAUAAAACCUUGAAUUUGUUUGCCAUUGGGCUCAGUGGUACCAUAGCAGCAUUUUAGUGUUUAUCUCAUGGAAAAUCUGUACCUUCUUGGGUCACUGCCCUUCAUAGUCUGGCACAUCACUGUGAGAAUGCAGAAAUCUGACUCAGUUUACUCAGGGAUGAACAGAUCUUUGUAAGUUUGGGUACAGUAAGUGCAUAGGGACAGACAGAGAACGCCUAGGAUAAUGGCUCUUUGCAUCUUGGAAGUUUUAACCCCAUUUUGAAAAUCUGAAGAAAGCUAUAGCUCCUUUCCCCGACAAGACUGUGGUUUCUGAGGGAGGGGGACUGCCCUUGAUCAUCAGCACAGGAAGCCCUGAUCGAAAAGAUCAUCUUCAUUUUACUUCUGACCUUGCUCUGACUUUGUUGUCGCUCUCUGUCAGGUUCUCUCUCGCCUCUGAAAGGAGCGUCAAAUCUCGAAGGACGCUUACUGCUUUACACAUUGAACUGAAGCUCCUGUCCCGAGCUUUGUCAUGUAAUGGAGCAGAAAUCCUCUGCACAGGGCCCUCAGCGUCCAGGUGCUGAGAACAGAGCCCGAGACGUUGAGGGGUGGCACUGCCCUCCUCGUAAGACCUGCGCCUGCUGGUUUAGGGGUGUUUGUUUCAUAGUCAAGUUGAAUGUUAAUGUUUUCUUUUUAAAAAUGAGCAUAUUUCUUCUAUAUUUUUUAUUAUUAUAAAUGUUUUUUUUUUACCUAACUGUGACUUUUUCUCAUGUCUUAAGAUAUCAAAUUCAUGGUGUAAAAUGUGUACUUUAGAUUAACAUAGUGACUGGAAAUUUAGGAUUCUGUUAUUUUUUGACUGAAAUUUGUAGCACAUUUUCGAGAAGAUUGUUCAGAUCCCCAGAUAAUUGGUUCUUUAUUCCUUUCAAGUUUCCUAAAUGUAUAAUUACUUCAGAAUUUUAUUAAUCCAUUUAUAAGUUUAGAGAAAGCUGUCUUCAGUUUAUAUUUUGACACAGAAUGGAUGUGUUUGAUUUAUCUUAUUCGGAAUAUGUUUUGACAAAAGUUUGCUUUCAAGUAGCUCUCAUCUUCGUUUUGGAAUCUCAGAUCACCUGCUUGUAAUCACUCAUUGGGACUUUUCUGCAAAAUACAGCUUCACUGAGAAGGUCGUCCUUGGAAAAUCAAGAAUUGGGACUGAGUGGAGAGAUGGAAGAGCGUCAUCAGAUUGAGCCCAGCACGUUCUGGAAACGUUAGACUGCAUUGCCUUUGUACAUGGACCAUAAUGUGACUGUCUUUUGUGAAUUGGACCUAUAGACAGAUAAAAUAACCUCGUAAAAUGUACCUUUACUGUAAGAAGAACACCACUCCAGUCUCUAGACCAUUCUGUCAGUACAGUGUGCUCCUGAUUACUCCCCUGCUGAAGGGGAGCCUGGGUCACUGAACUUGACUGAGAAGUAGACGUCGUGUGUUCUGGAUUUGAAGGUGAUUUUGUAUUUCCUUUUGGAAUGUGGUGUCUCGAUCUUUCCAACAUGAGCCUCACAAUUUCAUGCCCUGAGAGAGGAGCCCAAGUACCUCUGCGCUGACACUCGUUCUCUGUCCUUCUUUUUUCCUGUACUGUUGACUUCAGUGUGGGGAAAACAUCAAGCAUAUAGGAUUCCAGAAUUGGUCAGAAUCCUAUGAAAUCUAUCCCGCUUACCCUUCCAGGUAAUUUUAUUGCAUGUCCUUCCCGGCUCAUGUAAAUGAUGCCAAGUUUGGGGCCCUUUCUUAGGUCAGGAUAGAGUUACAGCCGCACUGUUCAGGCCUCUUCCUCCCAUUGUCACGUUUGGUCUUGCCUGCAGUGGGAGGUUUUCAGUCACUUUACUGUGAAAGAGUCCACUCGUGUCCUUUCGUUUCCAUCUGCCUUCCUGCAUGUUCUGGUGGGGAAAUAGAAUAGAUCUACACUUCGGGCUCUUAGCUGUCUAAGGGUUGCCUGUAAAAAUUCACAGCAUUGUAUUUACAACACAGCUUUUUAGCUGUGGUGUUGACAGUAGUCCCCAGUGGACAUCUGCUCUGUGCUGGGCGCCUUACCGGGUGUGGUUGUCCACUCUUCGUCUCCCCUGCUCCAUUCUCUUGAGGCCAGGAGUGAACUUCAUCAUGCCUCAGGCAUCAGAAGAACCAGAAGUCACUUCCUGUAAGCUUGCUGGUUCCUGGGGUCCUGAGUUAACGAGGUAGUAAGAGAUCCAUGUGUUCCCACCUGGAUGCUGGUAAAAACAGAUCAUGUGCAGAGAGGCCCGUGGGGAAUGGGGCGAAACAGGUGAAGGGGAUGAAGAGUUACAAACUGACAAUUAUAAAAUAAAUAUGCCAUGGAGAUGUAAUAUACAGCAUAGGGAGUAUAGUCAAUAAUAUUAUAGCCACUUUAUAGGGGGACAGACGGUAACUAGACUUAUUGUGGUGAUCAUUUCAUCAUAUAAAUAUCGAAUCACUAUGUUGUACACCUGAAACUAACGUAAUGUUGUAUAUCAAUAAUACUUCAAUAAAAAAAAAUCGUGCAGAAAAAGUGAUCAUGUCAAUAUGAUUUUUAAUGUAAGAUUUGUCAAAAAAAAAAAAAGGCCAAAUUUUAGGUUAACCUACGUGAACCCACAUUGAAUUUCCAGGUAUCUCUUACUUAAAAAAAAAAAAAUCGACCUCGUCCUUAAAAAACAUUACCUAAUUUGGUAAUGUCAGGGUAAUUUCCCUGACAUUUUCAAAAUGUGAUAUUACUCUAAAAAUUUUUUACACUUAGUUUUCAGAAACACGUGCAAAUAUGUUUUGUGUAAAAGAGUAUCUACUGUAUAUAAUAAUUUUCUGACUCUUGCUCUAAUAAAUAUUAAACUUAAGUGGUCUCAUUAUUUAAAACCUAAUAGUUGAAUUUUUUGAGUAAAAUUUUACAGCAUAUCCUAUCGUUACUUUUCAUGUAAUGUACAGAUACUCGUAGAAGCUGCCUAUGUGGGUUUGUUUUCCACAUAUAAAAAUAUUGUAAACAGAGUCCACGUCUUCAGUAAGAGUUUCUAGACCUUUGGCUAUAAUUACCAAGUGUUUGGGAUUGAGCU